AUAAUCAUCGGCAGAAUAUCGAUCAGUCCACAUAUUCAAUAGCUGAGUUUAGCUUGUCAUAAGCACUACUUUUUCUUGGUCAUCUUUGUCAUUCAACCUUCACCCUUUAUUCGACAUUUGUUGUGUAAAGACGUGCAAUCAAUGAAACAUAUUUUAUCACGUUUAGUGUCCGCCAAUGAGUAAAUCAAUCUAAUCUACUAAUCAAGUCUAUAACUGUGGCGACACAUCAAGGACCCUAGAGCAUAUAUCGCGCUGUGACCACCAGGGGCCCGAGUCUAAUGACAUCAGUAGACGGAACCAUUGGGCACCCACGCGCCGCCUACGGGCCGCGGAGCCUUGCAAAACCUUCGCGAGGAGAGGACAUCGUGGCGGGAGUUGACGAUAGCGGAUUGUAGACGAGAAAUUGUGGAUGAGGCAGGAGAAGCGAGGCCUUUUUAAGAAGAUGAGACAUAUUGCGCGCCAACUCCUUAAUUCAAUAUGAGGAUUAAUCAAAUAAACACCUAAAUAAUAGCACAAUUUUUAGAAAUACAAUUACAAUCAAACCAUAUCAACAAGCGUUUGAAUGGGGCACCACUACGGCACCACAAAAAUGGUCAAAAGCCACGUUUUCCACUCGGCGUUGUCCAAACGCAUGGAGUCUGAUCGAUGACGCAACCUUGGUUGUCAGUGGGCGAAGUGCUGCCGCAAUAGCCAUCAGGAAGUGAUCCGACACGCAAAACACGAAUCCAUCACGUUUUACCAUUUAUAUUAUUAUCUGCUGGGUGUUACGACGAGAAAUAUGACAAGAAAUUUUCUUUUUUUUUUUGUCUAAGUCCAACAUUAACCAUCUGUAUUAAAAUAUUUUCUGACAUGCAGAUGAGUCACCACUUACGAGUGGUGGUAUCGCUAUCUCAAUUUUUAUUCAUU